GAUACAUCACAUGAAGUUUGUCAGGAAGUCCCUGUUUUUGCAAGUCGAUUUUGCAGGGCAUACUCUUUCAGCCUAAGAUUACAGAUACAGUGCAAGAAGAAAUGUCUGGCAGAGAGACAGAACUGAUAAAAGGUAGUUAUUUAGCUUGUACACAGAAUUAAACACUUCACUGCCUGUUAAGGUGUGAAAGCUGCUCCAGUGGCCUCUUGCAGGAUGAAGGUACUCACCCUGCCAGAGGCAUCUGUGGUAUGACAGAAGGGCAUCCCUCUCACCCUCUGGGGAGGAGGUGAAGCUCUGGUGGCAGUGACUGAUGAGAUAGCCCAGAGCAGUACAUAACAGCUGGGCACAUACUGGCAUAGCAAUGGG
rnacentral:lncRNA from 1 species